UACGUAGGGUGCAAGCGUUAAUCGGAAUUACUGGGCGUAAAGCGUGCGCAGGCGGUCCUGUAAGUCAGGUGUGAAAUCCCCGGGCUCAACCUGGGAAUGGCAUCUGGGACUGCAGGGCUGGAGUGUGUCAGAGGGGGGUGGAAUUCCACGUGUAGCAGUGAAAUGCGUAGAGAUGUGGAGGAACACCGAUGGCGAAGGCAGCCCCCUGGGACGACACUGACGCUCAUGCACGAAAGCGUGGGGAGCAAACAGG
rnacentral:rRNA from 1 species